rnacentral:rRNA from 1 species
UACGGGGGGGGCAAGCGUUGUUCGGAAUUACUGGGCGUAAAGGGCUCGUAGGUGGCCAACUAAGUCAGACGUGAAAUCCCCAGGCUUAACCUGGGAACUGCGUCUGAUACUGGAUGGCUUGAAUUCGGGAGAGGGAUGCAGAAUUCCAGGUGUAGCGGUGAAAUGCGUAGAUAUCGGGAGGAAUACCGGUGGCGAAGGCGGCAUCCUGGACCAUGACUGACGCUGAGGAGCGAAAGCCAGGGGAGCAAAGCGGG